AUGAGAGGCAUUCACCCCCCUGAAAAUAUUCAAAAUGGCGGAUAUUCAGGGGGAUGAUUGCCUCUCAUAUUUCGAGUCAUUGUUGGUGCAUUAUUUUACUCACGUUUUCUGAGCCGUCAAAAUGUCCGGCUGAUGUUUUUUGUG